CCUGUGUAUCUGAGGACCUUACUGGCCUUCCAAAGGAAGAUAUGGGACCUGGAGCUGGGUCCUUGUCAAUGUGUCUGGAGGGCUGUCUGCUGCUGGAGAUAUGUUGUCAGCUGGGAGCAGGGAAGAAACUUCCUUCAAGCACGAGGAAAAACCAUCUGGCAGCAGUUCUUUUUUGAUGCAGAAGCCAUCUGGAUAGAGCAGCAGAUCAGAACUUCAACAUUUCUCAUGGUGGUAUCUUCAAACUAGCUCUAAAAUGACUCUGGGGGGGAAAAGAAUCGAAGGUAAAGAGUUAAGGCUUUCUGAUUUUGCCUUUGUGUUAGAGAUGGUUUUGGAGCUUCAGAUGUGUGUAAUGGAUUGUGAAGGUACUGCGCAAAAGGAAAUUCCUUCUGGGGACUCCAAGAUAAGCAUCUUUCCUCUGUUCUUACACUCUGGGACACCUCCAGUGUUUGACUUAGCUCUAGCUUAAAAUGAACUAAACUGUUGAAUUUCAUUAUGUUUUAUUGUCAACCUAAAU